AGGGAAACCGAGUCUUAACCGGGCGUUAAGUUGCAGGGUAUAGACCCGAAACCCGGUGAUCUAGCCAUGGGCAGGUUGAAGGUUGGGUAACACUAACUGGAGGACCGAACCGACUAAUGUUGAAAAAUUAGCGGAUGACCUGUGGCUGGGGGUGAAAGGCCAAUCAAACCGGGAGAUAGCUGGUUCUCCCCGAAAGCUAUUUAGGUAGCGCCUCGUGAAUUCAUCUCCGGGGGUAGAGCA
rnacentral:rRNA from 1 species